GCCCUCCUGGGACUGUGUUUGGGCAGCUUUCAGUCCUCUUCCAGCUUUGGGUGUAGGAGGGGAAGGAAUUGCAAAGGAAUACCCAUGCCCUGCUGGCUUUAGAAGUGGCUAGUGAGUAAAAACCAUAUGC
rnacentral:snoRNA from 1 species